rnacentral:rRNA from 1 species
UACGUAGGGUGCGAGCGUUAAUCGGAAUUACUGGGCGUAAAGUGUGCGCAGGCGGCCGCGCAAGUCGAGUGUGAAAGCCCCGGGCUUAACUUGGGAAUUGCGCUCGAAACUACGUGGCUUGAGUUUGGGAGAGGGAUGCGGAAUUCCUAGUGUAGAGGUGAAAUUCGUAGAUAUUAGGAAGAACACCAGUGGCGAAGGCGGCUCACUGGCCCGGUACUGACGCUGAGGCGCGAAAGCGUGGGGAGCAAACAGG